AACGCGGCGUCGGGAGCGUUCGUCGAAGCGUUGAAAGGCGACGCGUGUUUAGCCGGGCCUUGUGGGCUUUGUUACUACCUUUGUCUGUUUUGGAGGAGCGUGUAGUUUCUUUUUUGAGUUGCUAAGAAGUCCGACCUGUAAACUCCUCUGACUUAAUUCUAAGGGAGAAAAGGCAUUCGCUCUUAUUACGUUUGCUUCCUCUGAUUACGUGUGUUUGCACACCAAGCACUUUCACCCUGUUCUGCUGAGAAUUUGAGGUUCCCACUGUGGGGCAUUGAGUCAUCCAGGAAGCUCUUGAGAGCUGCACGUAUAGGCGACACAACAGCACAGUGCUUCUGAAGAAGCGCUGUGAGGGAGGUAUUCUAUUUUACUUCCUGUGAAUAUCAAGUAUAAAAAGGAAGACGGUUAAGGAUGACGAGCAGGAGGAGGAUGGUAAAGCUGUUGUGUAGAAAGGAAGAAGAACGAGGAAGAUCAGGAAGAAUGUUGCACACCUGAAACUAAAUUUCAUCUUCAUCCUGGAAUUCAUAGUCUGAUGAUAUGUAGUAUUUCGUUAUUUUGGAUGUCUAACAAAUCAUUAUGUUCUGAA